rnacentral:rRNA from 1 species
UACGUAGGAGGCGAGCGUUGUCCGGAAUUAUUGGGCGUAAAGCGCGUGUAGGCGGCUUUGCAAGUCGGGUGUGAAAUCCCUCGGCUCAACCGAGGAAGUGCGCCCGAAACUGCAGAGCUUGAGUACCGGAGAGGAUGGCGGAAUUCCCGAAGUAGAGGUGAAAUUCGUAGAUAUCGGGAGGAACACCGGUGGCGAAGGCGGCCAUCUGGACGGAUACUGACGCUGAGACGCGAAAGCGUGGGUAGCAAACAGG